rnacentral:rRNA from 1 species
UACGAAGGGGGCUAGCGUUGCUCGGAAUCACUGGGCGUAAAGGGCGCGUAGGCGGACUUUUAAGUCGGGGGUGAAAGCCCAGGGCUCAACCCUGGAAUUGCCUUCGAUACUGAGAGUCUUGAGUUCGGAAGAGGUUGGUGGAACUGCGAGUGUAGAGGUGAAAUUCGUAGAUAUUCGCAAGAACACCAGUGGCGAAGGCGGCCAACUGGUCCGAUACUGACGCUGAGGCGCGAAAGCGUGGGGAGCAAACAGGG